CCCGCCGCCGCCGCCGCCGCCACCGCCCGCGCGGUCCUCUGUGCCAGCACUAGCUCCCGCCGCGCGGCCGCGCAGCAGUCACCCACGGAGGAGGCGGGGAACUAUGAUGGGUGGGGCGGGAGACACAGGGACCACGAUCCUUUCUCGGGUCUCGCGCGGAGGUUGGGAGGGGCCGUGAGCGGCCGCGGUUGGGCUGCGACCUGAGGUCGUGGGGACAAGUCAGAGUUUUGGGGGCGGUGUUUACAGACUGGACUGAUUCUUCUCUGUCGCCGCCCUGCUCUAUGCUGGGUUUCCGAGCCUCCGAAGUUUUCCAGCUAGGUUCAGAAAACGAAAACACGGCUCAGGAAGCCUCCACCAGCAGUUGCCUAUGCCAGUUCACCUCUGGCAGUGGCUGUACUGCUGGUCCACGCAGCAGCCAAGACCAGCUCCACGUUCUUCCCUCCCCCUCAGUUCUCUGGAGCCGGGAGCCCUGCACUCAGGGGAAGGGCCUCAGCUCUACAGACUGCCAAAGUCCGCUGUGUCCCUCCGCUCCAAAAAUGGUGAGAAAGGAACCCAUCUUUUUCACAGAGGAACCGGGAGCAGAAGACUCCUAACCAACAAGGAUUACAGGACCCUGGGCUCCUAGACCGACCCUGGGCUCCUAGGCUUGGAGAAGAAAAGGACAAAGGGAAACAGAGGUCUAAUCGAAUUUGAUUUUCAUUAGCAAAUUAAAUUUACCUGCUCUCACUUUAACUCGGAAGAGGCUGUCAGCACCAUUCUCUGGAACUACUUCUUUGCAUUGAUCUGGUAUUAGGAUAAACAUUCCAUGGCUGCUUUUAAAGACACUUUGUAUUUCAGGAUAUUCAUGUGUUUCUAAUGUAUCCAAGCAGCUUUAUGAGCUGCUUUGCAGGACAUCUUACCCUCUGGCUUCCACGCCAGGCAGGCUGGGGGCAACGAGAUAAUGGCAAAGCAAAUAAGGUUCAGAAAGGAGCGUGGAGUCAGGGGACUAGGACAGAGAGAAAUGAGAGAUUCUCAAAGAAGGUAACUCCUCAGAAUCCUUACCAGCAGAGCAUUUGGGAAUGCAGCAAAUGGGAAGUUGAGUUUUUGAGAGAUCUCAAUCCUGUGUGCACCAGGGCAAAAGCAGUGCUCCCCUUUUUUUGGGGGGGGCGUGUGUGUGUGUGUGUGUGUGUGUGUGUGUGUGUGUGUGUGUGUGUGUGUGUAUGAGGGGGUUGUCUGGAGUUCUGGGCUGGCCAGAGCACAGGAAAAUGUCAUAUGACCCAUUUGAGGUUUUUAUUCUGUAGGGAAGCAAUAAUGAAGUCAAGGAAAGGUUUCAUGUUGUGGGGAUAAUUUUGGAACAUGGGGAGUCACUCUGUACUAUGGUGACCCACUUCAACGUGGAAAUGGGAGGCCAAGAAAGAAAAUCACAGACCUUGCCUCUAAGAUCACCUCAGAAUGGACUUUGAGGAGAGCAAAUUAUUGGAUAAGUGGCCCAUCCACUGCCUACCACAUUGGACGGGGACAAUGGAACCAGAUUAGAGCCAGCCAUCGGGAAGAGCCUUCUCGAAGGAAAGGUAGAGCAGAAACCCAGACAGAACUCUAGCUGCUCUAUUUCUUACAAAGUCUCAAAGAAGGGAGAAGGCACCUCGGCCCGCUU